UUGGCCUUAGAAAUCUGUGAAGCACUAAAAGGCUUUAGAAAACAACUCAAAGAAAAGAAGAAAUAAGUUUCCUACUCCUCUAAUACCUUCCUAGAAAAUUUUUGGUGAUUUAAGAUUUAAAGCGAGUCAGGCCUGGCCUUUGAAGAUUGCUUCUUUUGUAUCUGUGAUAGUCUCUUUUAGCCGUCAAGUUCUUUUUUUCUUUCUUCCUGAGUAGUGAUUAUCUACCCUUUUUUUUUGGUAGUCUCAUUUGAGGAUUUUGACUUUGAUGAAGAGAGAGAGAGAGAGAGAGAGAGAGAGAGAGAGGUAGUAAUGGCAAAGAAAAUUGGAACGUAAGAAGCAAGAACAACCAUUUUAUGAAGAAUACCAAGAAGGAGGAGAAACAAUGGCUAAGUUGCACACAUGGCAAGACCUCAUGCUCUUCAACUUCAAGAAAUGAUAGUAUGACCAAGAAGUGGAAGCAAAUUGGGAUGACUAAACAGUAAGGAAACAUGGAUCUCCCUCUCUCUUUCUUUCGGUUAGUUGCUCUAUGGCACCUAAAUGAAAAUCUACUCCGUCUCGGAACCUUCUUCGUUCUAGGGCUUUUUCUUCUUCUUCCCUCAUUGAUUCUACUCCAUCUCAUGUCCGGUUUUGGGAUGAUAAAGCCCGUAAGGAUUUUUAGAGAACUUCUCAUGACAUGGCAUUCAUUCGGAACACCAAGUCAUUCUAUCGGACUUUUUCGAUACUAACCUUCCCACUGUCAUCUACAGUAGGGGUUGGGAGUCACUAUGUGGCAUCUUGGUCACCUAUCUUUUCGUGAUCAUACAGGAGUUUUACUCCAAUAUGCACGGAUUCGACUAUUUUGUACCUCAUUUUGUCACUCGCAUUUGAGGUACGCGCAUUGUAGUUACUCUGACUCUUAUAUCCAAGGUGCUACAUGUACUGAGGGUAGAAUUUGCUGACUACCCUUGCUGUGAUCAUCUUCAGACUGUGUCCAAAGACGAACUCUCGUCUCGCUUCUGUGAGACACCUUUUUCUUGGGGUGACUGUCAAAACACCCCUGGCUUGAUUUUUGUUAUCCUUUCUUAAGGGACUCACUAUAGAUUUUCCAUCUCACUUCAUUCUCUCCUUCAUAAAUGUAUAUAGGGAUACGGUGACCUGUGAUAAGCUCAUUUUCCCUUCGGCUAUCAUGCGGAUUCUCUGCCAUUUUUCUUUCUCCUAUCUUGAGUCUACACACUUCUCCCCUAUGUGUGCCAUAGACACUACUACUGUCAGACGGAGCGAGGCCCAGCUUCGAUCGAAGUGGCCAAGAAUAGAGAUGGCAACUCCUCCAACUUCUUCUGCUCCUUCUUCAUCCACUCCUUCAUCGGCGGGUGGUGUGACCUUUGAGGUGGUCAUGGCACAGCUUCAGCGUAUGGAUGCUCGCCUUGACACACUUAGUGAUGAGUUGUGUCAAGUGAACACCUGUGUUGGCCAUAUUGCUCAAUGGCAGGCUCGCCUUGGUGGAUUUGUAGAGUCUCCCUCUCCUUCUCUAGAGGCAUCUAAGGAUGAGGACGAUGAUGGUGACUCCAACGACGAUGAUGAUGAUAAGUAUAAGGAUGCUAGCUUUUCCGGUGACUACACGAUGACUACUUAAGUUACUUACCCUUUGUCAUUCGUGAAAAAAAGCGGGAGUAGUUUUGGGAUGGGAGUAGUCAUGUAUUUAGGGGGAGGUUAGCAUAGGAAAUUUUUGAUGAUAGGGGGAGUGUUUAUAUUUUAAGGGAUGUAGUGAGUUUGUUAUGUAUUUUGUUUUCUUCCUUUUACAUUUACCUCAUGUAUAUUGGUCUUAUGACCAUUUGACAUACAUUGUACUUAUCUUUUGAUAUAUAUAUAUAUAUAUAUAUAUGUUGAUGUAUGUUA